AACGGAGGGGGCAAGCGUUAUUCAUCCUUAUUGGGCGUAAAGGGUAUGUAGGCGAUGGUACAUAAUUUUUUCAAACUCCAGAAAAGCUUUGGAUUCAAAAAAUUACAAAUUAGUUUGAGAUCAGUAAAGGUUGGCAGAAUUACUAAUGUAAGGGUAGAAUGUUACGAUAUUAGUACGAAUACCGGGAGGCGCAGGCAGCUU
rnacentral:rRNA from 1 species